rnacentral:rRNA from 1 species
UACGUAGGGGGCAAGCGUUAUCCGGAUUUACUGGGUGUAAAGGGAGCGCAGACGGCCAAGCAAGUCUGAAGUGAAAUGCAUGGGCUCAACCCAUGAAUUGCUUUGGAAACUGUUAGGCUUGAGUGUCGGAGGGGUAAGCGGAAUUCCUAGUGUAGCGGUGAAAUGCGUAGAUAUUAGGAGGAACACCGGAGGCGAAGGCGGCUUACUGGACGACAACUGACGUUGAGGCUCGAAGGCGUGGGGAGCAAACAGG